rnacentral:rRNA from 1 species
GGUGAGUAACGCGUACGCAACCUGCCCUUAACAGCGGGAUAGCCCCGGGAAACUGGGAUUAAUAUCGCAUAGAUAUACACACUAUCGCCUGAUAGAGUAUAUAAAGCUUCGGCGGUUAAGGAUGGGCGUGCGUCUGAUUAGGUAGUUGGUGAGGUAACGGCUCACCAAGCCGACGAUCAGUAGGGGGCGUGAGAGCGUGAUCCCCCACACGGGUACUGAGGCACGGACCCGACUCCUACGGGAGGCAGCAGUAAGGAAUAUUGGUCAAUGGGCGCGAGCCUGAACCAGUCAUCCCGCGUGCAGGAUGACGGCCCUACGGGUUGUAAACUGCUUUUAUUAGAGAAGAAACGCCUUGAUUUAUCGGGGCCUGACGGUAUCUAAUGAAUAAGCACCGGCUAACUCCGUGCCAGCAGCCGCGGUAAUACGGAGGGUGCAAGCGUUAUCCGGAAUCACUGGGUUUAAAGGGUGCGUAGGCGGUAUAGUAAGUCAGAGGUGAAAGGCUGCAGCUCAACUGUGGAAUUGCCUUUGAUACUGUUAUACUUGAAUCAGGUUGAGGCAGGCGGAAUGCGGCAUGUAGCGGUGAAAUGCAUAGAUAUGUCGUAGAACACCGAUUGCGAAGGCAGCUUGCUGGACCUGUAUUGACGCUGAGGCACGAAAGCGUGGGGAGCGAACAGGAUUAGAUACCCUGGUAGUCCACGCCCUAAACGAUGCUAACUCGAUGUUGGCCCCUGAGGUCAGCGUCCAAGGGAAACCGUUAAGUUAGCCACCUGGGGAGUACGUUCGCUAGAAUGAAACUCAAAGGAAUUGACGGGGGUCCGCACUAGCGGUGGAGCAUGUGGUUUAAUUCGCUGAUACGCGAGGAACCUUACCUGGGCUCGAACGCUACUGGCUAGCUUGUGAAAGGAAGUUUUCCUUCGGGAUUGGUAGUGAGGUGCUGCAUGGUUGUCGUCAGCUCGUGCCGUGAGGUGUUGGGUUAAGUCCCGCAACGAGCGCAACCCUUAUCCUUAGUUGCCAGCAUGUAAAGGUGGGGACUCUAGGGAGACUGCCGGCGCAAGCCUCGAGGAAGGUGGGGAUGACGUCAAAUCAUCAUGGCCUUUAUGCCCAGGGGUACACACGUGCUACAAUGGGGCAUACAACGGGUAGCGAAGCCUCGAGGUGGAGCCAAUCCAAUAAAGUGCGUC